GAUGAACGCUGGCGGCGUGCCUAAUACAUGCAAGUCGAGCGAACGGACGAGAAGCUUGCUUCUCUGAUGUUAGCGGCGGACGGGUGAGUAACACGUGGAUAACCUACCUAUAAGACUGGGAUAACUUCGGGAAACCGUAGCUAAUACCGGAUAAUAUUUUGAACCGCAUGGUUCAAAAGUGAAAGACGGUCUUGCUGUCACUUAUAGAUGGAUCCGCGCUGCAUUAGCUAGUUGGUAAGGUAACGGCUUACCAAGGCGACGAUGCAUAGCCGACCUGAGAGGGUGAUCGGCCACACUGGAACUGGGACACGGUCCAGACUCCUACGGGAGGCAGCAGUAGGGAAUCUUCCGCAAUGGGCGAAAGCCUGACGGAGCAACGCCGCGUGAGUGAUGAAGGUCUUCGGAUCGUAAAACUCUGUUAUUAGGGAAGAACAUAUGUGUAAGUAACUGUGCACAUCUUGACGGUACCUAAUCAGAAAGCCACGGCUAACUACGUG
rnacentral:rRNA from 1 species